CUGUCUGUUACGCGCACGAUGACGUAGGCAGGCCUCCUCACUCAGAGGGCGGUCACGUGAUCUUUGGCGUGGUGAAGCGAGGCAUCGAAACAUCUCGCUGCGUUCCUUUCCCUCUGAAAGCUCUGCGGGGUGUUGGAGCCUUCCUCCCCCACCUCCAGGUGAACCUUUUCUCUCCCGGGGAUCACGCGGAGGACUCAGGUGUCCAACCGGCUUGCGGGGACACGCGCCCCGGACGGAGGACGUGACAGCAGCCGGACUGAGAGAGCCAGCCUCAAGAGGAUCCUCGAUGAACUGCAGUUUUUAGCACCUCUGCAUUGGACUCAUAUUUUUAGACCGGAGGUUGCCGCUUGGAUUCACCUCACUCUGUCACAUGCAUUCAACGUUUUAUUUGUAACGAAUGUUUAUCUGUCGGCAAACGGAGCGACAUCCACAGCUCUCAAUAUAUCACCAAGUAUUUAAUCUGUCAUCUUGUCUUGAAUAAGCUGACUCAUUCACAAACAGCACAUCACUGUUCAGUGGAAACUUGGCACUAAUGCCUGACAGCUUGUUUGUGGUUGUGUUUCUGUGUGUGUUGUGUUUUCACGUUUUUUGAUUCGGACGUCAGAGGAGAAGAAGAAGACUGGGAGCUGUGGGAUGAGGUAGUAGUUUGUAUAGUUUUAGGAUCACACCAGAUCUGGGAGAUAACUAUACAGCCUACUGUCUUUCUCACAGCAACCAAGCCAUCACCUUCAUACAUGACGGAGACCGCCCAGCCUAUCCGCAUACUGUGUUCAGUUGCCACGGUGACUGAAGCCUCUGUUGCUGACCAACGGUGGUCCUGGAUUACAUCAUGAGCACAGGAUUCACUUUGCCGGGUGUCACCAGUCUCUUGUUGUCUCUUGUGUGUUGACAAACGGGACACAUUUCAGGAAACAUCACCUGCAUGAGUCAUGACUGAUCUGAGUCCCUGCAGCGUCACGUCUGCAGCCACAGGAGGACGACGACCUGUGAGCGUGACGAUGUUUGUAGCUGCGCCGUGGUGAGGUAGUAAGUUGUGUUGUUGUGGGGUGUGGGAUAUUACGACCCCUAUUUUGGAGAUACAACUAUACAACUUACUGCCUUCCACAGUGUGGCAGCUUGAUGCACAUGCUCUCCUAUUUUUAAAGCCACCUCGUAGGUGCCGCUCUCACUUCUUAAAGAUUGUGUGUUGCAUGAUUUGUUGUCUUUAUUUUGUUAUAGCCACCUCAGAUUAUUGAUGUGCUGUUAGAAGAACUGUACGGGGAAUAAAAUAGCAGACAGAUUCCAUGAGUUGUUCUCUAGAGUUGACCAUGACUUCUUGUUUUUCCAACAAUAAGUCUUAAUCUGAGAAUGAGACUGAGGAAAACAAAAAAAAUCUCACAUUUUAGAGCUCUAUUAGAAAAAGAGCUGGAGCUUCUGGCUCAAACCAUACUUUCAUUUUUUAUUUUUUUACAUUUUAAGCUUAAAUUAUACAUAUUUUGUGGCUGAUUAAACAUACUGUUACGUGCCUGCAAGCUGCAUGACAUGCAGGUCAGAGGUCAUGGACAGGAACACUAACAAAAAGAAACUUAAAACCCUCAAAUACAAACAGAUGUAAGGCCUUUGGGGUCUAAAAGGUGGAGUGGAGGUGUAAAGCUCCACAGCCACCCACUAAUUCUACUACAAAGAGUAGACAAACUAAUGAACAAGCCUAAACCAACUAAUAUAAUCUGCAAAAACCUCUCCUGGGAGAUCAAUCCUCUUUUUAAUUAUCCCUUUGCCACCCUCCCUCCCUCCACAUCCACAAACAUACACACUCUCUCACAACACACUCUUCAAACAAAACCCAGAGGUAACAAUUGAAGGUGUUGUCUUCUCUGUUGCAAACACCUAACUGAGGGAAAGGAGCUCCCUUUAUUGAGCAGCCAGGCUGAUGAGCUCAAGCUGGGUGCAAUGAGGGCAGGUGCUCUCAAUGAUGGGCUCGUUAGGAGCCCUGGAGGUCUCAGACUACCUCCAUCUGUAACACGUACAAAAAGAUGAAUUACAUCUCUAACCCCCUCCUUUUUUAACCCUCAUCCAUUCACCUGUAAACUGUUAAAUUUGUCCCUGAAUUCUUGAUGAUUAAAAUCAGUUUUAGAUCUUUGGAUGUUUUUAAAUGUAUUUUUGUCCACAUUAUAAGCACCAAUAAAGCAUACAUUUCAUA